AAGCAGGCUCCCUGCAGGGAGCCCGACGUGGGACUCAAUCCCGGGUCUUUCAGGAUUAUACCCUGGGCUGAAGGUAGCGCUAAACCACUGAGCCCCCCGGGCUGCCCUAUUCACCUGCUUUUAUGAGCUGGGACCCAAGAGAUGGCUAAACCAGUCAAGAAGAUGAGAUGCUGGAGGAAAAGCUGCUGGGAGCCAUUACUAUUAAGGCUAGUAAGCUCCAUGCCCUGUGCAGAGCCCAACACAGAGCUCAAACUCAAAACCGCGAAAUCAAGACCCGAGUGGAGAUCAAGAGUCAGACACUCAACCGAGCAAGCCAUGCAGGACUGUGCUUGAUGGAUGGCAGAAGGUAGGGGGAAGGAAUCUCAGUACCUUCCUCAGGCAAGUGGAUGGAGAGUGAGCAUCACAAGGCAGAGACCACCUUCAGGAUUGUAGCUGGAUUUAAUCAAACCCAGUCAGCUCAUUCCUCUGAUCAACCCCUUUCAGUGGACACUCCAAUUCCUAUUUAAGAGGAAAAUCUUCUUUUGCACUUUGAGUUUGUGCUGAGGCUCAAGACUUACCUACAUGGGUCAGUAGAAGAUAAACAUUUAUGCAUUUAUACAUGCAGGAUGCUGUUGCGUGAUGUAUUGCUUCCAUUGAGAAUCCAUGUUCUGUGUGAAGAUACUGUGGCUUAAGAGGAAUUGUGUUAUAUCAUAAGGAACUGGCAAGAGUGCCAAUUGAUACAAUCUUUGAAUGGAAAACAUCAGAGCCAAAGUCCUUUGUUUUGGAUUUUACAGAGCUGGAAAUUCCAGUGUAACUCAAUCCCACCCUUCACACUGCUGAGAGUAAUCUCCUGUCUACAGAGAAGGGAUUUUCAUUACUCAUGAGACUCACUCAUUUAUUUAUUGAUACUUACUCAUCAGUUUCCAUGUUGGAGGUUAAGGUAGUGCCUAUCACCUGGCUGUGGAAAUGUUAACACUUUUUGUAAAAUGAGAAGAAAUAUGUUGGGUACUGGUAUUGUUAAUAUAGAUUUUCAAAUUAGGCUUUUGGUGGUGUCUUUUCAUAUGAUCCAGGUCAAUAUGGCCGAGAUCUUCUCAGUAGUCUUAGAUUCCAACCGAAAGAGUUAGAGGUAUGCUUCAGGUUUGGUGUGUGUUACGGACUAAAUUGUGCUCCCCAAUCCUAACCCCCAAAAGUACCUCAGAAGGGAACAUUAUUUGGCUAUAGAGUCUUUACGGUUAAAAUGAGAGCAUUAGGAUGAGCCCUAAUCCAAUAUGACUGGUGUCAUUAUUACAAAGGGAAAUUUGGACACUCUUCAGUUUGCUUGGGCUACCAUAAUAAAAUAUCAGAAACUGAGUAAACAACUGAAAUUUAUCUUCUUACAAUUCUGUAGUCUAAAAAUUGAAGACCUAGGUGCUAUAUCAAGCUUGUUGUCUGAUGAUACUUCUACUAGCUUGUAGAUGGCCAUCUUCUCAUUGCCCUCACACAGCUUUUCUUCUUUAUACAUGCAGAGAAAGAGAUCUUUUCUUGUAAGGACACCAUCCUAUCAGAUUAAGGCUCUAUCCUUAUGACCUCAUUUAACCUUAAUUACCUCCUUAUAGGGCCUAUCUCCAAAUAAAAUUACCCUGUGGGUUAGAGUUUAAACAUAAGAAUUGGUAGGGAGCAAAAUUCAGUCCAUUAGAGACACACAUAAAAGAAGAUGAUAUAAAGAGACAGAGAAGGAACACUGGAAGGAACCUACCCUCUUGACACCUCAAUUUCAGAUUUCUAGCCUCCAGGACUCUGAGGCAAUAAAUUUCUGUUGUUUAAGGCAGACCUAACAGACUAAUCCUGCAUGCCCUUCAUGAUCUCAUAAAAUAGAAGUGAUCUAUGUUAGCCUCAUGGUCAUUACACUGAGACACUUAAGGCCUGCCCACUUAAAGGAGCAAACGAAAAAUAAAUUAAGCAUAAGUCUUCCAAAACAAAUUUUGGAAUCUUUUAGCAGAAUGGUAUCUGGUACAUCAUUCUCCUUUAGGCAAACAUAUUCAGGUUUUGCUGUUACCGUGAAUA